rnacentral:rRNA from 1 species
AACACAAGGGAGCUUGCUCCUGAGGUGACGAGCGGCGGACGGGUGAGUAAUGCCUAGGUAUCUGCCCAGUCGAGGGGGAUAACAGUUGGAAACGACUGCUAAUACCGCAUACGCCCUACGGGGGAAAGGAGGGGACCUUCGGGCCUUCCGCGAUUGGAUGAACCUAGGUGGGAUUAGCUAGUUGGUGGGGUAAUGGCUCACCAAGGCGACGAUCCCUAGCUGGUCUGAGAGGAUGAUCAGCCACACUGGAACUGAGACACGGUCCAGACUCCUACGGGAGGCAGCAGUGGGGAAUAUUGCACAAUGGGCGAAAGCCUGAUGCAGCCAUGCCGCGUGUGUGAAGAAGGCCUUCGGGUUGUAAAGCACUUUCAGCGAGGAGGAAAGCUCAAGCGUUAAUAGCGUUUGGG